UACGUAGGGGGCUAGCGUUGUCCGGAUUUAUUGGGCGUAGAGAGCGUGUAGGCGGCCAGGUAGGUCUGGUGUGAAAACUCGAGGCUUAACCUCGAGAUGUCAUCGGAAACCAUCUGGCUAGAGUCCGGAAGAGGAGAGUGGAAUUCCUGGUGUAGCGGUGAAAUGCGCAGAUAUCAGGAAGAACACCAAUGGCGAAAGCAGCUCUCUGGGACGGUACUGACGCUGAGACGCGAAAGCGUGGGGAGCGAACAGG
rnacentral:rRNA from 1 species